GAAAUUUACAAUUUAUGUGCUUAUAAAAUUAGUUUUAUGAAUGAACAAUAAACUGAUGCAUAUAAUGGCUUAAAUAUAUGGUUUUAAAAUUGACUUAACUUGAGCAAGAUACAUUAUGAAGUUCUUUCUGAUUAGAGUGUGUGGUCUCAAGACCUUUACAGUAGAUUAUCCUUAAGUGUCCAUAGCUCUCUGGUACAAUGUUUAGAUAUAGUUUAUCUAUCAAAAUAGAACAUUCACUAUAAAGACCUCUCUUCCAUUCCAAUCAUAUUAUCCCAACAUGCUAAAUGUUCCAAACAUUUUAUUUGGAAUGCAUUUUAUCAUGUUUUUAUAGGUUUAUUUUUCUGAUUGUGUUUUAUUUAGGCUAAUAUUAAAAAAAUGCUUACUAGUGGUAGAAGGUGGUGACAAAGAAAUACUCUGGGUAGCAGGAGGAAGCCAACUUGGAUUAAAAUUUUGCUGAGAAUAAUCUAAAAAUUGUUUUGCAGCCAGGUCCAUCAUUUGGAAAUCAGGAAGGCUUGUGUCUCAUAUAUGAGGGAAAA
rnacentral:lncRNA from 10 species